GUCAAUAACCCCCGCCAAAAGGCGGAGGCUUGAAAGAGCCUUUAUUGACUAGUCUCAGCAAACCUCCUCUGUGAGGGGAGCUACGUUGGUUUGGAAUGUACAGGCACCGUGGGAUGUUCAUCCUAGUCCCACGCUCUGCGGUCUGUGUCUAAAAGUUCUGAGAGGUAGGAACAGUGCUGCUGGCAAGAAACCCUUUCCAACAUUGACGAAGGAUGUCAACCGGCCUUCAGGCC
rnacentral:sRNA from 1 species